rnacentral:rRNA from 1 species
GCGAACGGGUGAGUAACACGUGGGCAAUCUGCCCUUCACUCUGGGAACAAGCCCUGGAAACGGGGUCUAAUACCGGAUACCACUCCUGCCUGCAUGGGCGGGGGUUGAAAGCUCCGGCGGUGAAGGAUGAGCCCGCGGCCUAUCAGCUUGUUGGUGGGGUAAUGGCCUACCAAGGCGACGACGGGUAGCCGGCCUGAGAGGGCGACCGGCCACACUGGGACUGAGACACGGCCCAGACUCCUACGGGAGGCAGCAGUGGGGAAUAUUGCACAAUGGGCGAAAGCCUGAUGCAGCGACGCCGCGUGAGGGAUGACGGCCUUCGGGUUGUAAACCUCUUUCAGCAGGGAAGAAGCGAAAGUGACGGUACCUGCAGAAGAAGCGCCGGCUAACUACGUGCCAGCAGCCGCGGUAAUACGUAGGGCGCAAGCGUUGUCCGGAAUUAUUGGGCGUAAAGAGCUCGUAGGCGGCUUGUCACGUCGGAUGUGAAAGCCCGAGGCUUAACCUCGGGUCUGCAUUCGAUACGGGCUAGCUAGAGUGUGGUAGGGGAGAUCGGAAUUCCUGGUGUAGCGGUGAAAUGCGCAGAUAUCAGGAGGAACACCGGUGGCGAAGGCGGAUCUCUGGGCCAUUACUGACGCUGAGGAGCGAAAGCGUGGGGAGCGAACAGGAUUAGAUACCCUGGUAGUCCA